rnacentral:tRNA from 1 species
AGGUGGGCACCAGAGCCGGAGAUCUGGGGCGGUCUGUAAAACCGUUACUCAACAGCUUAGUGGGUUCGACUCCCACCCCGCCUACCA